UGCCAGCAGCCGCGGUAAUACAUAGGGGUCAAGCGUUGUCCGGAUUUAUUGGGCGUAAAGAGCUCGUAGGCGGUUCAACAAGUUAGUGGUGAAAUCCCAGAGCUUAACUCUGGAACUGCCAUUAAAACUUUUCAGCUAGAGUAUGAUAGAGGAAAGCAGAAUUUCUAGUGUAGAGGUGAAAUUCGUAGAUAUUAGAAAGAAUACCAAUUGCGAGGGCAGCUUUCUGGAUCAUUACUGACACUGAGGAACGAAAGCAUGGGUAGCGAAGAGGAUUAGAUA
rnacentral:rRNA from 1 species